rnacentral:rRNA from 1 species
UACGUAGGGGGCAAGCGUUGUCCGGAAUCAUUGGGCGUAAAGCGCGCGUAGGCGGCCCGGUAAGUCCGCUGUGAAAGUCAAAGGCUCAACCUUUGAAUGCCGGUGGAUACUGUCGGGCUAGAGUCCGGAAGAGGCGAGUGGAAUUCCUGGUGUAGCGGUGGAAUGCGCAGAUAUCAGGAGGAACACCGGUGGCGAAGGCGGGUCUCUGGGCCGAUACUGACGCUGAGGAGCGAAAGCAUGGGGAGCGAACAGG